CAGUCGCCGCGGUAAAACGGAGGGUGCAAGCGUUAAUCGGAAUUACUGGGCGUAAAGCGCACGCAGGCGGUCUGUCAAGUCAGAUGUGAAAUCCCCGGGCUUAACCUGGGAACUGCAUUUGAAACUGGCAGGCUAGAGUCUUGUAGAGGGGGGUAGAAUUCCAGGUGUAGCGGUGAAAUGCGUAGAGAUCUGGAGGAAUACCGGUGGCGAAGGCGGCCCCCUGGACAAAGACUGACGCUCAGGUGCGAAAGCGUGGGGAGCAAACAGGAUUAGAGACCCGGGUAGUCCCUGUCUCUUAUAC
rnacentral:rRNA from 1 species